rnacentral:rRNA from 1 species
GACGAACGCUGGCGGCGUGCUUAACACAUGCAAGUCGAACGAAGUGGAGAACGGGUGAGUGAUACGUGGGUAACCUGCCCUCCUUUUUGGGCUAAGCCUUGGAAACGGGGUCUAAUACCAAAUUAAGGGGGAUGGGCUGGCGGACUAUCAGCUUGUUGGUGGGGUGAUGGCCUACCAAGGCGGUGACGGGUAGCCGGCCUGAGAGGGGGCCCGGCGACUUGGGGACGGAGCGUAUGCCCAGACGCCGACGGGAGGGAGCAGUUUGGGAUAUGGGACAAUGGGUGAUAGCAUGAUGCAGCGUGUCCGCGUGGGGGAUGAAGGUUUUCGGGUUGUAAACCUCGUGAGCUAGCGAACGGUUAGGUGGAGAAGAAGCGCCGGCUAACUACGUGCCAGCCGCCGCGGUAAUUC